GCAGUGGUGGCUCAGUGGUUAAAGGCUCUGGGUUACCGCUCAGAAGGUCAGGAGUUCAAGUCAAGCUACCACUGUA